UUAGCUCAUAUUUGUAUGGAAUUGGAUCGUUUGUCUACGUUUGCCGCUAGGGGCGCUGUUCCAACUGCAUACAAUUAUGAGUUA
rnacentral:pre_miRNA from 1 species